CUGUGAGCUCGAUGAGUAGGGCGGGACACGUGGUAUCCUGUCUGAAUAUGGGGGGACCAUCCUCCAAGGCUAAAUACUCCUGACUGACCGAUAGUGAACCAGUACCGUGAGGGAAAGGCGAAAAGAACCCCGGCGAGGGGAGUGAAAAAGAACCUGAAACCGUGUACGUACAAGCAGUGGGAGCACGCUUCGGCGUGUGACUGCGUACCUUUUGUAUAAUGGGUCAGCGACUUAUAUUCUGUAGCAAGGUUAACCGAAUAGGGGAGCCGAAGGGAAACCGAGUCUUAACUGGGCGUUAAGUUGCAGGGUAUAGACCCGAAACCCGGUGAUCUAGCCAUGGGCAGGUUGAAGGUUGGGUAACACUAACUGGAGGACCGAACCGACUAAUGUUGAAAAAUUAGCGGAUGACUUGUGGCUGGGGGUGAAAGGCCAAUCAAACCGGGAGAUAGCUGGUUCUCCCCGAAAGCUAUUUAGGUAGCGCCUCGUGAAUUCAUCUCCGGGGGUAGAGCACUGUUUCGGCAAGGGGGUCAUCCCGACUUACCAACCCGAUGCAAACUGCGAAUACCGGAGAAUGUUAUCACGGGAGACACACGGCGGGUGCUAACGUCCGUCGUGAAGAGGGAAACAACCCAGACCGCCAGCUAAGGUCCCAAAGUCAUGGUUAAGUGGGAAACGAUGUGGGAAGGCCCAGACAGCCAGGAUGUUGGCUUAGAAGCAGCCAUCAUUUAAAGAAAGCGUAAUAGCUCACUGGUCGAGUCGGCCUGCGCGGAAGAUGUAACGGGGCUAAACCAUGCACCGAAGCUGCGGCAGCGACACUAUGUGUUGUUGGGUAGGGGAGCGUUCUGUAAGCCUGUGAAGGUGUACUGUGAGGUAUGCUGGAGGUAUCAGAAGUGCGAAUGCUGACAUAAGUAACGAUAAAGCGGGUGAAAAGCCCGCUCGCCGGAAGACCAAGGGUUCCUGUCCAACGUUAAUCGGGGCAGGGUGAGUCGACCCCUAAGGCGAGGCCGAAAGGCGUAGUCGAUGGGAAACAGGUUAAUAUUCCUGUACUUGGUGUUACUGCGAAGGGGGGACGGAGAAGGCUAUGUUGGCCGGGCGACGGUUGUCCCGGUUUAAGCGUGUAGGCUGGUUUUCCAGGCAAAUCCGGAAAAUCAAGGCUGAGGCGUGAUGACGAGGCACUACGGUGCUGAAGCAACAAAUGCCCUGCUUCCAGGAAAAGCCUCUAAGCAUCAGGUAACAUCAAAUCGUACCCCAAACCGACACAGGUGGUCAGGUAGAGAAUACCAAGGCGCUUGAGAGAACUCGGGUGAAGGAACUAGGCAAAAUGGUGCCGUAACUUCGGGAGAAGGCACGCUGAUAUGUAGGUGAAGCGACUUGCUCGUGGAGCUGAAAUCAGUCGAAGAUACCAGCUGGCUGCAACUGUUUAUUAAAAACACAGCACUGUGCAAACACGAAAGUGGACGUAUACGGUGUGACGCCUGCCCGGUGCCGGAAGGUUAAUUGAUGGGGUUAGCG
rnacentral:rRNA from 1 species